rnacentral:rRNA from 1 species
GGGGGGAUCGUUAGUCGGAAUACUGCGGCGUAAGCGCACGCAGGCGGUCUGUCAAGUCGGAUGUGAAAUCCCCGGGCUCAACCUGGGAACUGCAUUCGAAACUGGCAGGCUAGAGUCUUGUAGAGGGGGGUAGAAUUCCAGGUGUAGCGGUGAAAUGCGUAGAGAUCUGGAGGAAUACCGGUGGCGAAGGCGGCCCCCUGGACAAAGACUGACGCUCAGGUGCGAAAGCGUGGGGAGCAAACAGGAUUAGAUACCCUGGUAGUCCACGCCGUAAACGAUGUCGAUUUGGAGGUUGUGCCCUUGAGGCGUGGCUUCCGGAGCUAACGCGUUAAAUCGACCGCCUGGGGAGUACGGCCGCAAGGUUAAAACUCAAAUGAAUUGACGGGGGCCCGCACAAGCGGUGGAGCAUGUGGUUUAAUUCGAUGCAACGCGAAGAACCUUACCUGGUCUUGACAUCCACAGAACUUAGCAGAGAUGCUUUGGUGCCUUCGGGAACUGUGAGACAGGUGCUGCAUGGCUGUCGUCAGCUCGUGUUGUGAAAUGUUGGGUUAAGUCCCGCAACGAGCGCAACCCUUAUCCUUUGUUGCCAGCGGUUAGGCCGGGAACUCAAAGGAGACUGCCAGUGAUAAACUGGAGGAAGGUGGGGAUGACGUCAAGUCAUCAUGGCCCUUACGACCAGGGCUACACACGUGCUACAAUGGCAUAUACAAAGAGAAGCGACCUCGCGAGAGCAAGCGGACCUCAUAAAGUAUGUCGUAGUCCGGAUUGGAGUCUGCAACUCGACUCCAUGAAGUCGGAAUCGCUAGUAAUCGUAGAUCAGAAUGCUACGGUGAAUACGUUCCCGGGCCUUGUACACACCGCCCGUCACACCAUGGGGAGUGGGUUGCAAAAGAAGUAGGUAGCUUAACCUUCGGGAGGGCGCUUACCACUUUGUGAUCCUGAUGGGUGACGAUAGGCAGAACCCCCCCCCCACAAAAAAAGGGGGAAAAAAAAAAAGG